rnacentral:lncRNA from 1 species
UUUUUUAAUGCAUAAAUUUGGCAUGAACAUAGUUCGCUAUAUAUAAUAUGAGUCCGGCUGCUAUGCUAUCAAUAGCAUUAAGUGCUUAGUGUUAUCAAGUUUUUUGCUGUUAGAUCUACUUUUUUGAUCAUUUUCACCCGUAAGAUCAUCGUAUUCGAUCAACCACUCACUCAAUCCUAGGAGACCACUACCACGUACAUCUCUUCAUCCACGAACCAAAAAUCUAAUAGUAUCAAAACUUAGUACUAUUAAUAGUAUUCUAAUCUAAUUUUAUAUAUAAUAAUAAUAUAGCAAAUGAGGUAAGUAAGAGGACCCACAAAUUAGUUGUGGUUGGGCCCUAAUUAUUAGGGUGGGGCAUUGUUGCUUAGCUGAAAACAAGCAAGGGUCCUGUGUUUCCCCACAAUCACAUUCAAUUGGGCUUUUUUGCAUUUAGCCCCCGGUAAAUUUUUAUUUUAAAAUUAGUCUUGUCAAAAUUUAAUUUGCAAAAAUGGCUCUGGGCCUGCCACGCAGGCGCUACGUCAGCGCCACGCGGGCAGGGCCGGGGUCCGUGUGUUAAGUUGCAUGCGGUGAACCAUUCACCGUGUUCAAAUACGGUGAAUAGUUCACCGUGUUUAGUACGUAUUUUUUUUGAAAAGAGGAAUAGGGAGUAGGGAUGUCAAUAGAUAUGGAUAUCCGAAAUAUUAUCCGAAUCCAAACCCGAAUAAAUUAUAUAUAUAUACAUAAUUUAUUUUUACUUAUUUAUACAAUAUAUAAAAUAUUUAAUAAUUUUUAUUUCUUAGAUCUUCAUCCAACGGUAUAGAUUUUUAAAAUCCGCUGGAUUCAGGUUCGGGUUUCGAGUUUUUGGUCGGAUAUGGAUAUGGGUAUGAAUUUUUAAAAUCCGUCGGGUUCAAAUCCGGGUUUGGAUUUUAAUUUGAUUUUCGGGUUCGGGUUCGUAUUUUUGAAAAAGAGAAGAAAAGGAAUAAAAAUUUUCUAUUCCUCUUUUCAAUAUAUAAAAAAUACGUACCAAACACGGUGAACCAUUCACCGUGUUUAGACACGUUGAAUGGUUCACUGUGUUUAACUUAACUACCGCUCCUAGCCCCGCUCGCGUGGCGCUGACGUGGCACCUGCGUGGCAGGCCUAAGGCCAUUUUUGAAAAUUAAAUUUUGACAGGACUAAUUUUAAAAUAAAAAUGGCUAAAUGCAAAAAAAGCCCUAUUCAAUUUCAACUUGAACUGAGAUGGUGAGAUGGGACCCACUUGUCUUUUUUGUGUUGGGUAUUCCUUUUUUUAUAUAUUAAAAAAAAUCAAGAUUAGAUUGUAUAGAACUAAGCAAGGUUUAGUGACUUAGAAAUAAAGGAUUAUAAUAUUAAAAAAGUAGGGUUAAUUUCAUACAGGUUUCUGCAAAAAUAGUGAAUGACAAAUAUAUCCCUACAAAGUUUAACUUUCAUAUGUUGUCUUUCAAAAGUUCUUAUGUUUUCAAAUAUAUUCGUGCCAUUAGAAUCCGUUAAAAAUUUAGUUAAUCAUAGAUUAAAUACUUAAUCCUGAUUAUAUUAUACUGUUAUAACUUUUGAAGGGUCAUAUUUGUGAUGGUAAAUUUGAAAAUAUAAAUAGUUUUUUAAUUAUUCUCUAACGAUCACAAAUCAGAAAAACAUAUUUGAAAACAUUAAAACUUAUACCGGGACAAUAUAUGAAAGUUGAACUUUGUAGGAAUAUAUUUGCUAUUUACUAUAUUUGCAGGAAACUGUAUGAAAUUAACCUGAAAAAAGUAUAAAGAAUUUUUUUUCAAGCAUAAAGUAGGUGUAAGAUUCUGAGCCUUAAAAGUAAAAGCUUCAAUUUAAUGCUUUAAAUUUUAAUUAUCGGAAUGAUUUAAUGAAUAAAUAUUCAUUUUUGCUGUUUAGUUUAGCGCAAAAUUUGAAAUCGAUUAUGCAUGGGACC